rnacentral:lncRNA from 1 species
AAAAAAAGUCUUAUCUUGAACAAUAUAUUCAAAAUAUUUUAGGAAUGAAAUAAUGAUCUUUACAGAUCUUUACUUUUUUGUAUUUUUAGUAAAAUACAAUAUAUAUAUACCUUUUGAUUGGUAAUACCACAUGACAUUUUUUUGUAACCAUUAAACUGAGAUGGACAUGGUGUUCUGUCGUGUGGGUAGACACACGUCCUGGGACACAGGAAUCAGGAGGGGGUGUUUUUGUGCUCUGUUUUAGUCAACUUCCUCUCUGUGCCACAGAACUUCCUGUGUUGGUUCCGUGAAAGGAGGCCCACCAGUUUCCCCCCAGCGGAAUGAGUGUGUGCCUGUGCACGUGGGUGCUCAUCUUACAUAUUGCAGGUUCAGUGGGAUUUCAGCAGGACCGGUUUAUCCAGGGGAGAACUGGUGUUUGUGUGCUGCGUUUUCAAUCUGAUGUGGCUCUCCGGGGGGCUCCGGAUGAAACUGGCUUGACGAGGAGACCAACAGCAUCACUUGAUUGGCAGGUGACGUGAUUGACAUCCACAAGGUGGCACGAGGAAGACGAGUGAAGAGGCAGGUGUGCAGGAACACCAGCAUGGCUGUGGAAAGCUUUCCUGAACUCCUGCAGAAACUGCGGGAGGUGCAUGAGCAUGAUUUAGAGGGUAAGAUCACCCAUUUACUUUUUUGUCUUGAACACUCUUGACUGAGAUUUCACCAACAGACAACUUCACAAAUUACAGACAACUUCAGUAACAGUGACAAUCAACAGGAAAACAUCUUUACAUCACCACAAAAUAGAUAACUGAAAGCGAGGUCACAUUUACUGUUGCUUGGUGAAAAUUUCACAAACAAAAUCUAGUAAUUUCAAUUAGGAAUCUGCAUGAUCAGGAGUUUCGCUUGAGCGUGAAAAAAUUCCCCAUGCAGAUUUUUCUCUUGGUUAAGUUGAUCACAUGAAUUUGCUGCACUGACAAACAGAAAGCUUCUUGGUUUGAAAGUGACUUCCGUGAAAGAUUUCCUUCACACAUCACUACAUUGUUGACUCUGGACAUUGGACCUUUUUGCCUGCAAAACAACAGUAACUGCAUAAAUAAAAUCAGCAAAACAAUAAAAAACAACAUUGUUUAGUAUGAAUCUGACAUUGUUUAUCAUGUCAUUCCAAACCUUUUUGACUUUCCUUUUUUUUCUUUAUGUCUUUCUUUUUUAAACACAAAAGGAGAUAGUUUAAUGAAUGAAGGUGGGGUGAAUUAAACACAAUGGCAUUACAUUGUGACUCACAUUAACACUUCAUAAAGCAGCCAAAAAUAUCAGCAAAAAUAGUCUGAACAUGAUAUUUGAAAUAAUAGUUACAACCGAAAAAAAAAGACAUUUAGCUAGAAAAUUUGCUGAAUGUUAGGUAUUCCGAGUUUGUUCCUUCAUCAGAACAGAUUUGAAGAAAUGGAUCUUCUGCAGUGAAUGGGUCUGAAUGUUAGGUAUUCCGAGUUUGUUCCUUCAUCAGAACAGAUUUGAGAAAUGGAUCUUCUGCAGUGAAUGGGUGCCGUCAGAAUGAGAGUCCAAACAGCUGAUAAAAUCAUUACAAUAAUUCACAAGUUAUCCACACGACUCCACUCAAUCAAACUUGUGAAGGAAAAAGCUGCAUGUUUUUAAUAAACAAAUCUUUCAUGAAGAACACCAUUCCAGGGGAAAUCAUGUGAC